rnacentral:RNase_P_RNA from 1 species
UGAGUUGUUUGGGCAAUCGCGUGUUUUUCACGAGGAACUUCUGGACUACAUAGAACAGCGUGGUUGUUAACUGCAACCGAGGGUGACCUUAGGGAAAGUGCCACAGAGACUAUACCGCUUUUAGUGUGCAAGUACAAAAAGCAAGGGUGAAAAGAGUUGGGGUAAGAGCCCACAGCACACAUGGUGACAUGUUCUAAUUGUAGAAUUUAUGUGAAUGGUAAACCCCACGCGUAGCAAGGUCAAGCAGAAUUUAAGGUUGUUCGCUCAGUAAAUUCGGGUAGACCGCUUGAGCCUAUGAGCAAUUAUAGGCCUAGAUAGAUGAUUGCCACCAGUUAUGGUACAGAAUCCAGGGUAUAGAACAACUCAUCCA